AACGAACGCUGGCGGCAGGCCUAACACAUGCAAGUCGAGCGAGGACUUCGGUCCUAGCGGCGGACGGGUGAGUAACGCGUGGGAACGUGCCCUUUGCUUCGGAAUAGCCCUGGGAAACUGGGAGUAAUACCGGAUGAGCCCUUUGGGGGAAAGAUUUAUCGGCGAAGGAUCGACCCGCGUUGGAUUAGGUAGUUGGUGGGGUAAUGGCCUACCAAGCCGACGAUCCAUAGCUGGUUUGAGAGGAUGAUCAGCCACACUGGGACUGAGACACGGCCCAGACUCCUACGGGAGGCAGCAGUGGGGAAUCUUAGACAAUGGGGGAAACCCUGAUCUAGCCAUGCCGCGUGAGCGAUGAAGGCCUUAGGGUUGUAAAGCUCUUUCAGCUGGGAAGAUAAUGACGGUACCAGCAGAAGAAGCCCCGGCUAACUCCGUG
rnacentral:rRNA from 1 species